rnacentral:rRNA from 1 species
UUUUUUGUGGAGAGUUUGAUCCUGGCUCAGGACGAACGCUGGCGGCGUGCUUAACACAUGCAAGUCGAACGGAAAGGCCCCUUCGGGGGUACUCGAGUGGCGAACGGGUGAGUAACACGUGGGUGAUCUACCUCGUACUCUGGGAUAAGCCUGGGAAACUGGGUCUAAUACUGGAUAGGACCACACUUUAGUGUGUGUGGUGGAAAGUUUUUUCGGUACGAGAUGAGCCCGCGGCCUAUCAGCUUGUUGGUGGGGUAAUGGCCUACCAAGGCGUCGACGGGUAGCCGGCCUGAGAGGGUGGACGGCCACAUUGGGACUGAGAUACGGCCCAGACUCCUACGGGAGGCAGCAGUGGGGAAUAUUGCACAAUGGGCGCAAGCCUGAUGCAGCGACGCCGCGUGAGGGAUGACGGCCUUCGGGUUGUAAACCUCUUUCGACAGGGACGAAGCUUUUGUGACGGUACCUGUAUAAGAAGCACCGGCUAACUACGUGCCAGCAGCCGCGGUAAUACGUAGGGUGCGAGCGUUGUCCGGAAUUACUGGGCGUAAAGAGCUCGUAGGUGGUUUGUCGCGUCGUCUGUGAAAUUCCGGGGCUUAACUCCGGGCGUGCAGGCGAUACGGGCAUAACUUGAGUGCUGUAGGGGAGACUGGAAUUCCUGGUGUAGCGGUGGAAUGCGCAGAUAUCAGGAGGAACACCGAUGGCGAAGGCAGGUCUCUGGGCAGUAACUGACGCUGAGGAGCGAAAGCAUGGGGAGCGAACAGGAUUAGAUACCCUGGUAGUCCAUGCCGUAAACGGUGGGCGCUAGGUGUGAGGGUCUUCCACGACUUUCGUGCCGUAGCUAACGCAUUAAGCGCCCCGCCUGGGGAGUACGGCCGCAAGGCUAAAACUCAAAGGAAUUGACGGGGGCCCGCACAAGCGGCGGAGCAUGUGGAUUAAUUCGAUGCAACGCGAAGAACCUUACCUGGGCUUGACAUAUACAAGAUCGGCGUAGAGAUACGUUUUCCCUUGUGGUUUGUAUACAGGUGGUGCAUGGUUGUCGUCAGCUCGUGUCGUGAGAUGUUGGGUUAAGUCCCGCAACGAGCGCAACCCUUGUCUUAUGUUGCCAGCACGUUAUGGUGGGGACUCAUGAGAGACUGCCGGGGUUAACUCGGAGGAAGGUGGGGAUGACGUCAAAUCAUCAUGCCCCUUAUGUCCAGGGCUUCACACAUGCUACAAUGGUCGGUACAACGCGUUGCGAGCCUGUGAGGGUGAGCGAAUCGCUGAAAGCCGGCCUCAGUUCGGAUUGGGGUCUGCAACUCGACCCCAUGAAGUCGGAGUCGCUAGUAAUCGCAGAUCAGCAACGCUGCGGUGAAUACGUUCCCGGGCCUUGUACACACCGCCCGUCACGUCAUGAAAGUUGGUAACACCCGAAGCCCAUGGCCCAACCAGUUUUUCUGGGGGGAGUGGUCGAAGGUGGGAUCGGCGAUUGGGACGAAGUCGUAACAAGGUAGCCGUACCGGAAGGUGCGGCUGGAUCACCUCCUUUCUAAGGAG